CCGGCUGCCCGCCAGUGUUUAGUGUUUAAGCAACCACUCUUCAGUCUUCGCUCUCUACCCAAACUUUUCAGUCAGCUUCAACAAAAUGGCAUCCGCUUCUUCUUCACUUACGCAAGAAUUCGAGGAUUGGGAUCGUCCCUUAACCGAUGAAGAACUCCAAGCCAUUGACUACGCCGUUUUGCAGUCCACCACGACUACCGAUCGUCCCUUAACCAAUGAAGAACUCCAAGCCAUUGACGACGCCGUUUUGCAGUCCACCACAACCACCGAUCGUCCCUUCACCGAUGAAGAACUCCAAGCCAUUGACGACGCCGUUUCGCAGUCCACCACGACUACCUCUCCCUCAAAGCGCCACGUGUCAUGUUCAUCCGACGAUGACGCCGAUAAAAAAUCUCGCCGGCGAUUGCCCGACUCCCUCUUCAUUUGCCAACGAAAUAACACUAAUUCGAAUUCUUUCUCCCUUUCCCCUUGUCAUCGAAGAAAUCGCUUUCCCUCCUACGCUUUUCGCCGUUCUUCUUCUACAUCUACUUAUCAAGUUAUGAGGUAUCCAGAAAUAGCAUUCAAAGGCCGAAUUGUCUAUAGCCGGAGCUUUGAUGAGGUGGAGAAAUCUGCUGAGGAGCUUCUCAGUUUUGUUGAACUUAAGAGAAGAAAAGGAGGGCAAGCCAUUCUUGGAUUUGAUAUCGAAUGGAGACCCACUUUUAGAAGAGGAGUUACACCUGGGAAGACGGCUGUUAUGCAGAUCUGCGGGGACAAUAAUGUAUGUUAUGUGAUGCAUGUCAUUCAUUCUGGAAUUCCUCAAAAUCUGAAAAGUCUUCUUGAAAAUCCAACUUCAGUUAAGGUCGGCGUGUGCAUUGCCAAUGAUGCUUUUAAAAUUUUUCAAGAUCAUAAUGUGUCAGUAAAAGCUUUGGAAGAUUUGUCAGAUCUAGCAAAUCAUAAGCUUGGUGGAGAUUGUAAGAAGUGGAGUCUAUCAUCACUGACUGAAACGCUUAUCUGCAAGCAGGUUUCCUUGGGCUUCUUUACCAAAAAGAAUAUAUGGUUUCUGUGGUUGAUUUGAUUAGAAAAUGAGAAGCACUGACUGACUAGCUCUGACAUUGGGAUGCUCUUUUGGCUAGUAGGAUUUACAUGUCUACAAAGAUAAGCUUCAUCAAUUUUUUCUUCCUCUUUCGGGUUAAAAAUGAAGAUUUCAGUAAAAUGCUGUAGAUGGAGUGCAAAAUACAUAUUCUGGAACUUAUGGACAGCUACAUGUAGAGUGCUGAGACUGUCUUCACUCUUGAAAAGUUGUUCAUCACCAAUCAGCUGCCUAAGCCCAAUAGGAUCAGGCUGGGAAAUUGGGAGACUGACGUUCUAUCAAAGGAACAGCUACAUUAUGCUGCCACAGAUGCUUUUGUUUCUUGGUACCUAUAUGAGGCACUACAAACUCUUCCAGAGGCGGAUAACAAGAAAAUUGAGGAAUCAGUGGUUCUGUCAUCAUAGCGGCCUUCUUUUAAUCAAUAAUUAUUUGCUUGGAUCAGCAUUGUCUCUGUACUUCCAGUGCAUAACUUCCCCACGAGACAACCAUUAAACAGCAUUCUGGAUGCCACUUUCUUGAUAAUGAUGAAAUGUGAAUCUGCACUAAGGAAUAUCAGAGAUGCUGUUGUACCUGAAGAGCGUUUCCUUGAUGGCCACUUUGAUUGAGUCUCCUAUUCCACAAAUGACUUGUAUGACCUAGCCAAGUUAUUCGAUUUUUUGCUGCCAGGUUAAUCAGUUCCUAGAUUGUCUUGUGGCAAAAAUCCGCCCGCUUUUGCCUUGAAGCAACUCAUUCUUUCAAUGAUACAAUGAAGGCUUCAGAGCUUAAGUUGCUUCCGGCCAUCGUCUGUUGUAAUUAUCAAGGUUCCCUCUUAAAACUUCUUCUGAGGGAAAUGAUGUUUAUUAAGGCUUGACAGAGUAGUAGUUGUUUCGACAAGUUUUGUAUCUGUUGUGUCAUUUUGCUACAAUCAUCAUUGCACGCCCUUUCUGCAAGAUACUUUUAUUUGUAGGUUCAUAACAGUAUCUUAAAUUGUAAAUAAAUUCUCUAGUUUCUUAGAUGGUUCUCAAGAUAUGAAAUAUAUUUAGUGGUUAAAUACAUUGUCCAAACUUGAUUCUUUUUA